ACCCUCUGACGAGAGUGGUGAUGCGAUAUGAUUGUAGGGGUCAUCUUUGGUGAAGUACGAUGGUAACCAUAGUUUACAUGUAGGACCAUUGUGGUUGGCACGACUGUGGUCAUAAAUGUGUCAUGGUCUGGCAAGCUACAAAUUAUUGAUAUAAUAUGUAAUGAAUUGGGUCAUUCCACAUGAGCAGUCAAGAAUCCAUAUUGCCCUCAGUAGAUGGAAGUUGGAACAAUUUCGCGCGAAGA
rnacentral:lncRNA from 1 species